rnacentral:rRNA from 1 species
AGUGAACGCUGGCGGUAGGCCUAACACAUGCAAGUCGAACGGCAGCACAGUAAGAGCUUGCUCUUACGGGUGGCGAGUGGCGGACGGGUGAGGAAUACAUCGGAAUCUACUUUUUCGUGGGGGAUAACGUAGGGAAACUUACGCUGAUACCGCAUACGACCUACGGGUGAAAGCAGGGGAUCUUCGGACCUUGCGCGAUUGAAUGAGCCGAUGUCGGAUUAGCUAGUUGGCGGGGUAAAGGCCCACCAAGGCGACGAUCCGUAGCUGGUCUGAGAGGAUGAUCAGCCACACUGGAACUCAGACACGGUCCAGACUCCUACGGGAGGCAGCAGUGGGGAAUAUUGGACAAUGGGCGCAAGCCCGAUCCAGCCAUACCGCGUGGGUGAAGAAGGCCUUCGGGUUGUAAAGCCCUUUUGUUGGGAAAGAAAAGCAGCAGGUUAAUACCCCGCUGUUCUGACGGUACCCAAAGAAUAAGCACCGGCUAACUUCGUG